rnacentral:rRNA from 1 species
CAUACCUAUUCGAAGGGAUAGGGUCGGUUCGGCCGGAUUUUACACAAGUGUUGCAUGGCUGUCGUCAGCUCGUGUCGUGAGAUGUUGGGUUAAGUCCCGCAACGAGCGCAACCCUCAUCCUUAGUUGCUAUCAGGUAAUGCUGAGUACUUUAAGGAAACUGCCAGUGAUAAGCUGGAGGAAGGUGGGGAUGAUGUCAAGUCAUCAUGGCCUUUAUGGAGUGGGCUACACACGUGCUACAAUGGUGUCUACAAUGGGCUGCAAGGUGCGCAAGCCUAAGCUAAUCCCUAAAAGACAUCUCAGUUCGGAUUGUACUCUGCGACUCGAGUACAUGAAGUUGGAAUCGCUAGUAAUCGUGGAUCAGCACGCCACGGUGAAUACGUUCUCGGGUCUUGUACACACUGCCCGUCACGCCAUGGGAAUUGGUUUCACUCGAAGCU